GCCAGUGUGGUGUAAUGGUGUGAAUGUUGGAUUAUGGAUCUGAAGAUCAGGGUUCGAUUCCCUUCUCAGAUA